UUCUCAAGUGGUGGAGAUGAGGCAUAUGUGGGAAUUUGCUUGUAAUAGUUUGCGGGUGGUGGAGGUGAGUAGGUAUUUGGUAUAGAUGGCAAGUUGUAAUUUAUAGGUGAUUGCUCGUAGUAUUUUGUUGGAGAAGGUGUAGAUUCUUUAUAGUACGGUGGAGGUGGAGAUUUGUAAGAAAAUGGUGAUUGCUCGUAGUAUUUUGGUAGGGGCGGGGGAGAUUUAUAAGAAGGUGUAGAUUCUUUAUAGUAUGAUGGAGGUAAAGAUUUGUAAGAAGAUGCUGAUUGCUCAUAGUAUUUUGGUGGGGGUGGAGGUGACUUGUAAUAAGGUGAUUGCUCAUAGUAUAUAGAAGGAGGUGGAGGUGAUUUGUAAUACGAAGGUGAUUUUUCAUAAUAAGCUGGUUGUGGAGACUUGUAGUAAACUGGGGACUUGUAAUAUUUUGGUGGCGGCGGUGACUUGUAGUAUUUAGAGGGAG
rnacentral:lncRNA from 1 species